rnacentral:lncRNA from 1 species
GGAUGUGGGAAGCACCAGCAUCCUUGAGAUGCAGCAGUGGCUGCCUAGACUGCUGCUCCUUGGAGACCUCGGCAGAUGAAAAGAUGCCCACUGUGCCAAGAGCUGGGGCACUCUGACCUUUUCAUGCAACAGAUGGUGCUUUAACUAAAGGGGGAAGAAGAGGCAUGAGCAACUGAUGAAGCACUGGAGUUCAGUCGGGAAGCAGGAGCCUGAGGUGCUCCACAGGCAUUUGUCACAUUCUGUACUGACAUGGGAUUGUAUCCCCACCACGGAUUUGACCUCAGACGGUCAGAUUAAAUAGAUCAACA